UGGACAGAUUAUUGUAUUCGACUGUAUUCACGGUGUGAAAUAGGGGAUUACACUGUUUUUAAAAUGGAAAGUGAAUCAAUUAACAUAAUAGACUCCU
rnacentral:pre_miRNA from 1 species